CUUAACACAUGCAAGUCGAACGAAGCGCUUAAACGGAUUUCUUCGGAUUGAAGUUUUUGUGACUGAGUGGCGGACGGGUGAGUAACGCGUGGGUAACCUGCCUCGUACAGGGGGAUAACAGUUAGAAAUGACUGCUAAUACCGCAUAAGCGCACAGUGCUGCAUGGCACAGUGUGAAAAACUCCGGUGGUAUGAGAUGGACCCGCGUCUGAUUAGCUGGUUGGUGGGGUAAUGGCCUACCAAGGCGACGAUCAGUAGCCGGCCUGAGAGGGUGAACGGCCACAUUGGGACUGAGACACGGCCCAAACUCCUACGGGAGGCAGCAGUGGGGAAUAUUGCACAAUGGGGGAAACCCUGAUGCAGCGACGCCGCGUGAGCGAAGAAGUAUUUCGGUAUGUAAAGCUCUAUCAGCAGGGAAGAAAAUGACGGUACCUGACUAAGAAGCACCGGCUAAAUACGUGCCAGCAGCCGCGGUAAUACGUAUGGUGCAAGCGUUAUCCGGAUUUACUGGGUGUAAAGGGAGCGUAGACGGUUGUGUAAGUCUGAUGUGAAAGCCCGGGGCUCAACCCCGGGACUGCAUUGGAAACUAUGUAACUAGAGUGUCGGAGAGGUAAGCGGAAUUCCUAGUGUAGCGGUGAAAUGCGUAGAUAUUAGGAGGAACACCAGUGGCGAAGGCGGCUUACUGGACGAUCACUGACGUUGAGGCUCGAAAGCGUGGGGAGCAAACAGGAUUAGAUACCCUGGUAGUCCACGCCGUAAACGAUGACUACUAGGUGUCGGGGAGCAAAGCUCUUCGGUGCCGCAGCAAACGCAAUAAGUAGUCCACCUGGGGAGUACGUUCGCAAGAAUGAAA
rnacentral:rRNA from 1 species